rnacentral:rRNA from 1 species
AUUUUGGAGAGUUUGAUCCUGGCUCAGAGUGAACGCUGGCGGCGUGGAUUAGGCAUGCAAGUCGCACGCGAACCCGGUUUCGAUUGGGUGAGAGUGGCGAAAGGGUGAGUAAUGCAUAGACAACCAACCCCCGA